AAAAGAAAAAAAAAAGCUGUACGGGGUAUCAAUGAGUCCUACAAGAAAAACCUGAUGGCCCUGAAGAAGUUUGUGAUGGUGAAAUUCCUCAAUGAUUCCAUUGUGGACCCUGUAGAUUCGGAGUGGUUUGGAUUCUACAGAAGUGGCCAAGCCAAGGAAACCAUUCCCUUACAGGAGACCUCCCUGUACACACAGGACCGCCUGGGGCUAAAGGAAAUGGACAAUGCAGGACAGCUAGUGUUUCUGGCUACAGAAGGGGACCAUCUUCAGUUGUCUGAAGAAUGGUUUUAUGCCCACAUCAUACCAUUCCUUGGAUGAAACCCGUACAGUUCACAAUAGAGCUCAGGGAGCCCCUAAUUCUUCCAAACCACAUGGGAGACAGUUUCCUUCAUGCCCAAGCCUGAGCUCAGAUCCAGCUUGCAACUAAUCCUUCUAUCAUCUAACAUGCCCUACUUGGAAAGAUCUAAGAUCUGAAUCUUAUCCUUUGCCAUCUUCUGUUACCAUAUGGUGUUGAAUGCAAGUUUAAUUACCAUGGAGAUUGUUUUACAAACUUCUGAUGUGGU
rnacentral:sRNA from 1 species